rnacentral:rRNA from 1 species
GACGAACGCUGGCGGCGUGCUUAACACAUGCAAGUCGAACGGAAAGGCCUGCUUUCCCUUGUGGAUUGCGGGUACUCGAGUGGCGAACGGGUGAGUAACACGUGAGUGAUCUGCCCCCAACUUGGGUAUAAGCCUGGGAAACUGGGUCUAAUUCCCGAUAGGACUGCAGGGUGGUGCCUGUGGUGGAAAACGAUUUUCUAGUGGUUGGGGAUGAGCUCGCGGCCUAUCAGCUUGUUGGUGGGGUAAUGGCCUACCAAGGCGGCGACGGGUAGCCGGCGUGGGAGGGUGGACGGCCACAUUGGGACUGGGAUACUGCCCAGACGCCUACGGGAGGCAGCAGUGGGGAAAAAUGCGCAAUGGGCGGAAGCCUGAUGCAGCGACGCCGCGUGGGGGAUGACGGCCUUCGGGUGGUAAACUCCUUUCGACCGCGAGGAAGCCACCUGGUUGGAAGGGUGGUGACGGUAGUGGUAGAAGAAGCACCGGCUAACUACGUG